UACAGAGGUGGCAAGCGUUGUUCGGAAUUACUGGGCGUAAAGGGCGCGUAGGCGGCUUGGUCAGUCCCGUGUGAAAUCCCUCGGCUCAACUGAGGAACUGCACGGGAAACUGCCUGGCUUGAGUUCGGGAGAGGGAAGCGGAAUUCCGGGUGUAGCGGUGAAAUGCGUAGAUAUCCGGAGGAACACCGGUGGCGAAGGCGGCUUCCUGGACCGACACUGACGCUGAGGAGCGAAAGCCAGGGGAGCAAAGCGGG
rnacentral:rRNA from 1 species